CAGUAGCCGCGGUAAUACGAAGGGGGCUAGCGUUGUUCGGAAUUACUGGGCGUAAAGGGCGCGUAGGCGGCCAUUCAAGUUAGAUGUGAAAGCCCUGGGCUCAACCUAGGAAUUGCAUUUGAUACUGUUUGGCUUGAGUUCGGGAGAGGUGAGUGGAAUUCCCAGUGUAGAGGUGAAAUUCGUAGAUAUUGGGAAGAACACCAGUGGCGAAGGCGGCUCACUGGACCGACACUGACGCUGAGGCGCGAAAGCGUGGGGAGCAAACAGGAUUAGAUACCCCCGUAGUCCAUGUCUCUUAUAA
rnacentral:rRNA from 1 species